rnacentral:rRNA from 1 species
CCUACGGGAGGCAGCAGUGGGGAAUAUUGCACAAUGCGGGAAACCCUGAUGCAGCGACGCCGCGUGAGUGAGGAAGUAUUUCGGUAUGUAAAGCUCUAUCAGCAGGGAAGAAAAUGACGGUACCUGACUAAGAAUCCCCGGCUAACUACUUGCCAGCAGCCGCGGUAAUACGUAGGGGGCAAGCGUUAUCCGGAUGUACGGGGUGUAAAGGGAGCGUAGACGGUUAAUCAAGUCAGAAGUGAAAACCAAGGGCUCAACCUUGGGACUGCUUUUGAAACUGAGUAGCUAGAGUGUAGGAGAGGUAAGCAGAAUUCCUAGUGUAGCGGUGAAAUGCGUAGAUAUUAGGAGGAACACCAGUAGCGAAGGCGGCUAACUGAACUGUAACUGACGUUGAGGCGCGAAAGCGUGGGGAGCAAACAGGAUUAGAUACCCCGGUAGUC